rnacentral:rRNA from 1 species
AGUGAACGCUGGCGGUAGGCCUAACACAUGCAAGUCGAACGGCAGCACAGUAAGAGCUUGCUCUUACGGGUGGCGAGUGGCGGACGGGUGAGGAAUACAUCGGAAUCUACUUUUUCGUGGGGGGUAACGUAGGGAAACUUACGCUAAUACCGCAUACGACCUACGGGUGAAAGCAGGGGAUCUUCGGACCUUGCACGAUUGAAUGAGCCGAUGUCGGAUUAGCUAGUUGGCGGGGUAAAGGCCCACCAAGGCGACGAUCCGUAGCUGGUCUGAGAGGAUGAUCAGCCACACUGGAACUGAGACACGGUCCAGACUCCUACGGGAGGCAGCAGUGGGGAAUAUUGGACAAUGGGCGCAAGCCUGAUCCAGCCAUACCGCGUGGGUGAAGAAGGCCUUCGGGUUGUAAAGCCCUUUUGUUGGGAAAGAAAAGCAGCAGGUUAAUACCCCGCUGUUCUGACGGUACCCAAAGAAUAAGCACCGGCUAACUUCGUG